UAUAGCUUUCAGGAAAAGGAAGCUUCCGCUGAAUUCUGCAUCUAAUCUCAUUGUAUAGAUUUCCCUGUCAGACCUCAUCUGGAGUACUAUGUUCAAUUCUAUUCACCAUGGUUUAAUAAAGACAAUGUCUAGACAAGCAACAGAACAAUACAUCAAGGCAUGAUCAGUAGCAUUUGCUCCUAAGUGCCAGCCAGUUGGAUGGGGCUGGUUCCAGCACACCCCUGCGUCUCGGCAUUAUAGUGAAAAUCUAGGAGGAGAGUCAUCAGGAGUGAGGCCUGGAGAAGAAUGCAAGGAGUAGAACCAAAUGCUUAUUAAAUUGAAGUGAAUUGGCUCAUUUGGAGAAGAAUGAACAGACUAUUUGAGCAUGAGUACAGAGUGUGCCAAAUGAGAUGGUGUGAGAAACUUGAAAAGGUAACCCAUGAUGCCCCUCUUUGCCACCACAAUGACUAAGGAGCUGAUGUGGGUUGCCAGGAAGUGUUGGUGGCAGCUAGGUGGCACAGUGGAUAGUGC